GGUGAAUGGCACAAGUGAUGCCUUUGUGGAGUUUAAAUUCACCACAAUUUCUGCGUUAUCUUUAAGGUGUUUUACAAUUCUGCGUACCCUUGUACGUCAACGUUCAUUUCACCUGCAAUAGGUCGUCUACUACCAGAGACCAAUAAAGUUGGUCAUGAUAUUCCUCCUUGGGAGUAGCCUCUGUGUUGUAUAUUUUUUGCCCCCUCCCACCAAAGUUUUAACCAUGUUUUUGAUACUAAUCGGAUAUAUAAUCAGACAUAACGGUAGAAUUAGCUAAGUAGGCCGUUCGUGACUCGUUAAUUCUGGUUCAUUUUAGGCGGUAUAGUUUUAAAAUUUCUCAACGUCGAUUCUGUAAGUCGCUAGCGGAUAAGGAAACGAUCCAUAACAGACGGGGUCAAAUGGAGGUUGCACUGUUCAAGGUUAUAUUAUUGACUAUACAGUCAUUCCAGUUAGGUUGUUUAGGAAAUUUAGACUAAUAUUAUUAUUUUCGUUGUUAACACUAUUUUUAAAAAACUUUCGCCGCGAUGUCCGUCUGCAAGUUCAACGGCAAGCUGUCGAACGUCGAGGGCAAGUCGCCUUUUCUGAUAGGAGUCGCUGGAGGCACGGCGAGUGGAAAGUCGACAGUAUGCAAGAGGAUAAUGGAAAAGUUGGGCCAAGUGGAUGUUGAUCAUGCAGAGCGGAAGGUCGUUACAAUCAGCCAAGACUGCUUCUACAGGGAGUUAAGCUCUGCCGAAAAGGUGAAAGCUCUCAAGGGCCAGUAUAACUUCGACCAUCCAGAUGCUUUCAACGAGACCCUUAUUUACAACACCCUCACUGACAUCCUCGCCGGGAAGAAAGUGACCAUCCCUUCAUAUGAUUACAUCACCAAUUCAAGGUCAGAUGUAAUGCAGACGAUUUACCCUGCUGACGUUGUCCUCUUUGAAGGCAUACUAGUAUUCUACUUCCCUGAGAUACGCAACCUGUUUCACAUGAAGCUCUUUGUUGACACAGACUCAGACACGAGGCUUGCACGUAGAGUUCCGAGGGAUAUCAAUGAACGUGGAAGGGACCUCGAGCAAGUACUCAACCAGUACAUGAACUACGUGAAGCCGGCCUUCGAGGAGUUCUGCCUUCCGACAAAGAAGCAUGCUGACGUUAUAAUACCAAGGGGAGCUGACAAUAUUGCGCUUUCAAGAUUUAUAGAGAUUUAAGUGUGAACCAGAAGAGUUUGUCAUUAAUUAUUUUUGAACUGUGAGAAAAGGAAGAGAAUUGCAAGUAAUGAAGUUUAAACGUGUAAAAGAAACCAGAGGAUUAUGCCCAUGUUGCAAUAGAUUUGAUAGUGUACCACAUCUGGGAUAUACUGCACGGUCCUCAACUACCAUUGGCCAAGGUGCCGAGAAUGAACCACAGGCUCAAUUCGUGUCUGGAUAGCGUUAGCCGCUGACG
rnacentral:misc_RNA from 1 species